GACGUAGGGCGCGAGCGUUGUCCGGAUUUAUUGGGCGUAAAGAGCUCGUAGGCGGCUUGUCGCGUCGUCCGUGAAACCUGCAGCUCAACUGCAGGCUUGCGGUCGAUACGGGCAGGCUGGAGUUCGGUAGGGGAGACUGGAAUUCCUGGUGUAGCGGUGAAAUGCGCAGAUAUCAGGAGGAACACCGGUGGCGAAGGCGGGUCUCUGGACAGUUCCUGACACUGAGACACGAAGGCCAGGGGAGCAAACGGG
rnacentral:rRNA from 1 species